UACGGGGGGAGCAAGCGUUGUUCGGAUUUACUGGGCGUAAAGGGCGCGUAGGCGGCCACCGCAAGUCGGUUGUGAAAUCUCCGGGCUUAACCCGGAAAGGUCAAUCGAUACUGCGGGGCUAGAGUGCAGAAGGGGCAACUGGAAUUCUCGGUGUAGUGGUGAAAUGCGUAGAUAUCGAGAGGAACACCUGCGGCGAAGGCGGGUUGCUGGGCUGACACUGACGCUGAAGCGCGAAAGCUAGGGGAGCGAACGGG
rnacentral:rRNA from 1 species